AGUGCUGCCUUAGGCUUGAAAGCCAGAGGAGGAAGAAGCAUUAGACAUUGGAUUGUCUUAACCAAGCUUGUAUUAGCCACUUGCAUCUGAAAAACAUGGCCUUUAUGCAAAGAGGAGAAGGCUAAAGUAAAGAAAGAACUAGAGAUCAUCGAUUAUCUAAAACUUCUGCAAGUUUAGAAAUGUUGUCACCUGUAAAGCAGCUAUCCAGAGAGUUCACUCACCUCUGUUAUCAGCAGAGUACAUACACCAUCCUGAAAAUCAUGCUUUUCAUCAACCAUUA